GUGACUUGAGAAAGCACUGAUCAACUAUUGUAGGGCUGAAAUGUUCUAAUUGUAUGCCCUGUGUACUCUUGAGUUCAAUAUGCAUGUCAUUUAUUUUGUGCUAGACUAGACUGUUAUCAGGGUGCCCAGGUCCUGGAAACUAAAAUGAGGUGUUUGAGAGUUAUGGAUAGCGCUUCUGGUGAUUUGGUUCAUAUCACUGUCUGCAUAUGUUUGGUUAUGCUUGUAUCAUAUAUUUAGUCAAUAUCUUGGGCCUAUUUCUCUGUUUGUCUGCUUGCUUAUGCUCUAGAAAUUACUUUUUUUUU
rnacentral:lncRNA from 1 species